GCAUCGAGAACACACCGUCAUAUUAUAUAUUUAGCCUUCUCUCGAUCGUUCGAUUAGAUUAACUUCGAAAAUUUCGUAUUGGGCGUGUCUGCCCUACGCGGACACGUGCCCCGUAGGUAACGUCUGGCUCCAGUCGCGCAGUGCCACCGAAAUCAAUACGGAAUGCGACGGAGGCCCCUACUGUUAUGAGGACCACCUUGGCGAGUUGUUUGGUCCUAUGGUGUUUCAUGGCCAUGGGAGAGAUCGAUUAGGAACCUCUGCAGCGGCCACCACGCCCAGACAGGGAGGGAGCUGGUAUGAGUCACCCCAUAGAGAGAACCCAUAAGACGGGCGGGGACACCACCGUCGCGUUGCAACGUGGCAUUGAAAGUGACGAGAACACCGUGCAUAUUCACCCUCGCCUUUUUCCUUCAUAGCUCGACGAACGUGUGUCACGCGAGUCUAGGGAACACCAUGGAUCACGUGCGUCGACCUAACUCAACAACUUACUUAGUGCAAUUUAAGCCUAGGGAUGCCAUUGAUUUUCAUCCAUUGGACAAUGCGAGGAGAGGGCUUAACGAUUACUCAUCCUGCACCCACAACCACUUGCCCUUCUAUAUGUAUAUCCAAUAAAACUGUU